GGCGGUGUAGCCAAGCGGUAAGGCAAUGGUCCGCAAGACCUGUAUCCCCGUGUUCGAAUCCGGGCACCGCCUCCA
rnacentral:tRNA from 3 species